CUUUGGGGCUUAGAGUUCGGGUAUUUUCUGCUGGGCUCGAGUAUUUCCGCUGGUGCGGUCGUAACUUGGUCACUUCCGGGAUCGCUCUUGGGGACCCAGGUAAAGGGCGCCAUCUUUAAGUACGGCAGAAGCGGAUCGCUUCAGUAGCGGUACAGGGAUUCUCACUUUCCCUACUGCAGACCGCAGCGGAGGUUGCUCAAACGGGACCCUAGUCCCGGAGGUCACAGAGGCGUUGUGAUUACGGCGGGUCAGAGCCUGGGACUAUGCCAGGGCAGCCUCCCUCCACUUAUCCGAAUUCACCUGUGUGGUUCAACACCCAGAUGGCAUCCUUUCUCAAUCCAGCCCCAUCUUCUGAGCCCUGCUUAUCACACCAUGCAAUGUCCUAUCAUCUCAGGUUCCUGACUCAGGUAAACCUAGAAGGUGAUGGGGGAGCUUCCAGAGGCCUGCAAAGGCCCUGCGACCACGGGACCCGAAGACUGCAAUAAAGGUCUGAGAUUCGCCUAUUUGCCCCAUAA